UCCAGAGGGUGCGAUAGUUAAUCGGAAUUACUGGGCGUAAAGCGAACGUAGGUGGCGACGUAAGUCGGGUGUGAAAGCCCCGGGCUCAACCUGGGAAUUGCAUUCGAUACUGCAUUGCUGGAGUACGGAAGAGGAGGGCGGAAUUCCCGGUGUAGCGGUGAAAUGCGUAGAUAUCGGGAGAAACAUCAGUGGCGAAGGCGGCCCCCUGGUCCAGUACUGACACUCAAGUGCGAAAGCGUGGGGAGAAAACAGG
rnacentral:rRNA from 1 species